AGAAAUAUAGUUAAAUCAAUAAUAUUUAUUUUGCUAAUAAAAGUUAUCUUAUAGAUUAUUUUUA
rnacentral:tRNA from 1 species